AAAAGCCAGGGCAUCAUCAGAGAUUAUAAAAACUACUGUUUACUAUUCAUUUGAUAUUUAAAUUUCUUCCUUUCUUAGACCUUUUUGGGAGCUAAUGAAAUUUAAUAUUUUUAUAUUCUAAAAUUGUAUUGUAUUUUAUUUUAAG